rnacentral:rRNA from 1 species
GGACCAAGGAGUCUAGCAUGUGAGCGAGUCUUUGGUACUUAACUAUAAUAAACCCAAANGGCGUAAUGAAAGUAAAAGUCUUAGCCUUGCUCAGACUUAGGGAGGAUGGGUGGCGACAUUUGACAGUCGCCUCGCACUCCCGGGGCGUCCCGCACUCAUUGCGAGGUGGGGCGUGCACCUGAGCAUACACGCUGGGACCC